rnacentral:rRNA from 1 species
UAGGGAAUCUUCCGCAAUGGACGAAAGUCUGACGGAGCGACGCCGCGUGAGCGAAGAAGGUCUUCGGAUCGUAAAGCUCUGUUGUUAGGGAAGAAGAAGUGCCGUUCGAACAGGGCGGCGCGGUGACGGUACCUAACGAGAAAGCCCCGGCUAACUACGUGCCAGCAGCCGCGGUAAUACGUAGGUGGCAAGCGUUGUCCGGAAUUAUUGGGCGUAAAGCGCGCGCAGGCGGUUCCUUAAGUCUGAUGUGAAAUCUCGCGGCUCAACCGGGGGAGGCCAUUGGAAACUGGGGAACUUGAGUGCAGGAGAGGGGAGCGGAAUUCCAGGUGUAGCGGUGAAAUGCGUAGAGAUGUGGAGGAACACCGGUGGCGAAGGCGGCUCUCUGGACUGUAACUGACGCUGAGGCGCGAAAGCGUGGGGAGCGAACAGG